rnacentral:snoRNA from 1 species
UUAAAAUGAUGAAUAACUUUUGAGCGAUGGGCGGACUGAAUGAAAGUCUAAACUUGAAUGUAGAAAAUCGCUGAAACUGAUAAGAAUUGCAU